UAGAAUUAUCGAGCUCACUUGUCGGAAAUACACAUUUCCCUUUAGAACCAAAUCGUUAUUCAAUCGUUAUCAAAUCGAGAUGCGAGUGUACAGUACUUUAAAGGGCGUGGUGUAUUUCUGCGAGUUUGCAAUAUGUACAGCUAAUAAAUUUGUAAAUUAUUUAAUGCUUAACACACCGACGCCGGAAGUAACACGGCGAAACUACGUGAUCGAACUGAUAGACUUCCUACACGUGGUGACUUCGGAAGAUACUGAAGAGAAAACCUGCAUUUGCAUCUGAGGAAUGUACCGCGAAUUCGUAUCAUUGACGAGCGGUACCGUUGAUGUUGAUGUUGCGUUUAAAUACAAAUAUAUACGUUAAAUUUUUCAUACAUAUCUAAUAUUUUGAGGACACUAGAAAUAUAAAGGAUCAAAAGCAAGUCUGUUGUCACAGCUAAUCAAACGUUGUCAGAACAUUGUGUUAACAUAAAGAUGCAACUUUUCGAUUGCAGUAAUUUGAUUUAACGGGACAUCCUGCAUACACGUGCAAAAAUCGAAAAGUGAAACGUAUUUUAAAAAAACAUGUAUUCCUUUAACGGUUUAUUGCGAACGACUAAGGUAACGUGUGAAAGAUACGAAAGUAACUAUUGCUAAACGAGCAACAAAACAAUUUUAUAUCCAUAGAUAUACCAGAGUCUACCUGCACUAAUAUAUUGCUAUCGAUAUUUUAUAAUUGAAAUAACUAUAACGUUUUAUACCGCUUUAUUUGUACAAAAAAAAGGUAGAUACAUUUAAUUCGCGAAUAACGAAUCAUUUAUUUUAAAAGCGACAGAAAAUUUAUGCAUUCUUCUCAUCUAGAAUUCAUCAUUUACUGUCAGUUGCGAAUGUAAAUACGGAAGGGAUGUAGCGAUUAAGCUAAGCUUUCUCAAUUCUCACCGUCUUUCCUGUUUCUCCACAUUCUGUUUUCUGUAAUCAAGCUUCGCGGUGUCUUAUUUUUGCGAAUCAGCUGGACGACUACGAGCAGCUGAUACGGUGACUGAUAACGAGAGGAAGAUGUGUUGACGAUAAAAUACAUAGUUAUAAUUUUUCACUGCCACGUGCUGGUUUACUCAUAUUUAUAUGACAAGAUUUGGCGUCAUAUGUAGGAGAUACAUGUUAUUCACUGGCGUAUGAGUGUAAUCAAAGCUUUAAUAAGACUUUGAUCCCGUAUUACCGAAAAGACAAUAAAAUCUCGUCACAACCAAUGCCAUUUCGUUGGAGAAACGAUAAAUACGACUUUUCUACAAACGAUAUUAGGUGUCGAAUUUUUGCACGUUGGAAAAAAAAUGCACAUGCACAUUUAUAUAUUUAUAAUGCGGAAUGCAUAAGAUACGGACAUAUUACCCUCCAUUGACGUUGGCUUUAUUAAUCCAUGAAAAACAAGAUUCCUUGAAGCAAAACGCAUACAUCAACAAUCAAAUAGAGGAUUGAUGAACUGUUGAUUCUUCCGAAUCCAGAUUGCACUCAUACCAUGAUGAAUACUUAUCGUUUAUCGUAUAUAUGUAGGUGCUUAAAUGUGAUUUUUAAUGCGAGGAAAUAACCGGCGAAUAAUCAAGGAUCGAUAAAUAAAUAAUUGAUAGUGAAUGAGUAACUGGCGGCAUCAUCGAACGUAUGUUUUUUUAUUAAAAGAUUUUAAUCAGUCUGCGUGAUAUAUAAACGAAGAAAGUUGCGUAUGAGAGAGAAUAGCGGUAGGAAUAAGGAUGGUAUAAGGAAAUUGUGUGUUGCUACAUAUAUAAAAUUUAUAUCAAAUAGAUUAUGUGAAAUUCGCGUAUAAAGUAAACAGUAACUAGCGUUCUCUAAUAUUCUCUACAUUCGAGACCGUAUGAAAGUAAAACGUACAAUUCGAUAGUAAUAACAAUUAUUCGGCCGCCAAGAUGUAUAUCGUAUAUCUGCGUAAAAAAAAAUUAGAUUAUCACCCCAAAUAUCAGUUAAAGUGCAAUAUUUACGAUAAAACAAACUAU